AGUGAACGCUGGCGGUAGGCCUAACACAUGCAAGUCGAACGGCAGCACAAGAGAGCUUGCUCUCUGGGUGGCGAGUGGCGGACGGGUGAGGAAUACAUCGGAAUCUACUCUGUCGUGGGGGAUAACGUAGGGAAACUUACGCUAAUACCGCAUAUGACCUACGGGUGAAAGCAGGGGACCUUCGGGCCUGGCGCGAUUGAAUGAGCCGAUGUCGGAUUAGCUAGUUGGCGGGGUAAAGGCCCACCAAGGCGACGAUCCGUAGCUGGUCUGAGAGGAUGAUCAGCCACACUGGAACUGAGACACGGUCCAGACUCCUACGGGAGGCAGCAGUGGGGAAUAUUGGACAAUGGGCGCAAGCCUGAUCCAGCCAUACCGCGUGGGUGAAGAAGGCCUUCGGGUUGUAAAGCCCUUUUGUUGGGAAAGAAAUCCAGCUGGCUAAUACCCGGUUGGGAUGACGGUACCCAAAGAAUAAGCACCGGCUAACUUCGUGCCAGCAGCCGCCGUAA
rnacentral:rRNA from 1 species